ensembl:lncRNA
UAAACACAACCCAUGUUUAUGUUUAUUUAUUUUCCCUUUUGUACUUUAACCAUUUGUACAUCGUUACAACACUGUAUAUAUACAUCAUAUGACAUUUGAAAUGUCUUUAUUCUUUUGGAAAUUCUGUGAGUGUAAUUUUUACUGUUCAUUUAUAUUGUUUACCUCAAUUUUGCAUAUUAUCUACUUCUCUUGCUUUGGCAAUGUUAACAUGUGUUUCCCAUGUCAAUAAAGCCCCUUGAAUUGAAAUAAACAAAACAAAAGCGCCACCUGGUGGAGAAGACAGAUUUCGGGCCCAGUUAUCCCUCUUUGGUUCACCUCUUCCUCUCUGACAGACAACAGCAGACAGGCAGCACCAGGUCCUUGUAACUGUGAGUGCUGUAUGACAGAGACACAAGUAUCCACUACGUUCCCCACAGGUCCAUACACAGCUGUGUAGCGUAGCAAUCUAAAUAGUUUAUUUUUUAAAGAUGCUUCAGAAAAAAAGUUAACUUUCCCAAAGUCCCCACAAUGUGCGAGCCACACCCCCAUUGGUUCUCAGUACUGCUAGUAUAUAUAUACAACACACUCUAACAUCAGGCCAGUAUCCAUCUAUAUGGUGCAGGGUUCAGGUCUACUCCACAGGGUCCAGGCCCACCAUGAGGUCUCUACUCCACAGGGUCCAGGCCCACCAUGAGGUGUCUACUCCACAGGGUCCAGGCCCACCAUGAGGUCUCUACUCCACAGGGUCCAGGCCCACCAUGAGGUCUCUACUCCACAGGGUCCAGGUCUACUCCACAGGGUCCAGGCCCACCAUGAGGUCUCUACUCCACAGGGUUCAGGCCCACCAUGAGAUCUCUACUCCACAGGGUUCAGGCCCACCAUGAAGUCUCUACUCCACAGGGUCCAGGCCCACCAUGAGGUCUCUACUCCACAGGGUUCAGGCCCUCCAUGACAUCUCUACUCCACAGGGUCCAGGCCCACCAUGAGGUCUCUACUCCACAGGGUCCAGGCCCACCAUGAGGUCUCUAUUCCACAGGGUUCAGGCCCACCAUGAGGUCUCUACUCCACAGGGUCCAGGCCCACCAUGACAUCUCUACUCCACAGGGUCCAGGCCCACCAUGAGGUCUCUACUCCACAGGGUUCAGGCCCCCCAUGAGGUCUCUACUCCACAGGGUCCAGGCCCACCAUGAGGUCUCUACUCCACAGGGUCCAGGUCUACUCCACAGGGUCCAGACCCACCAUGAGGUCUCUACUCCACAGGGUUCAGGCCCACCAUGAGGUCUCUACUCCACAGGGUCCAGGCCCACCAUGAGGUCUCUACUCCACAGGGUCCAGGUCUACUCCACAGGGUCCAGACCCACCAUGAGGUCUCUACUCCACAGGGUCCAGGCCCACCAUGAGAUCUCUACUCCACAGGGUUCAGGCCCACCAUGAGGUCUCUACUCCACAGGGUCCAGGCCCACCAUGAGGUCUCUACUCCACAGGGUCCAGGUCCACUCCACAGGGUCCAGGCCCACCAUGAGGUCUCUACUCCACAGGGUCCAGGCCCACCAUGAGGUCUCUACCCCACAGAGUCCAGGCCCACCAUGAGGUCUCUACUCCACAGGGUCCAGGCCCACCAUGAGGUCUCUACUCCACAGGGUUCAGGCCCACCAUGAGGUCUCUACUCCAAAGGGUUCAGGUCUCUACUCCACAGGGUUCAGGCCCACCAUGAGGUCUCUACUCCACAGGGUCCAGGCCCACCAUGAGGUCUCUACUCCACAGGGUCUAGGCCCACCAUGAGGUCUCUACUCCACAGGAUCCAGGCCCACCAUGAGGUCUCUACUCCACAGGGUUCAGGCCCACCAUGAGGUCUCUACCCCACAGGGUCCAGGUCCACCAUGAGGUCUCUACUCCACAGGGUCCAGGUCCACCAUGAGAUCUCUACUCCACAGGGUCCAGGCCUACCAUGAGGUCUCUACUCCACAGGGUCCAGGCCCACCAUGAGGUCUCUACUCCACAGGGUUCAGGCCCACCAUGAGGUCUCUACUCCACAGGGUCCAGGCCCACCAUGAGGUCUCUAAUCCACAGGGUUCAGGUCCACCAUGAGGUCUCUUUUCCACAGGGUCCAGGCUCACCAUGAGUUCUCUACUCCACAGGGUUCAGGCCCACCAUGAGGUCUCUACUCCACAGGGUCCAGGCCCACCAUGAGGUCUCUACUCCACAGGGUUCAGGCCCACCAUGAGAUCUCUACUCCACAGGGUUCAGGCCCACCAUGAGGUCUACUCCACAGGGUCCAGGCCCACCAUGAGAUCUCUACUCCACAGGGUCCAGGCCCACCAUGAGGUCUAUACCACUAUAAACAGUUAUAGUCUCUGUUAUAUGUGUGGCCAUAUUAUACAGUCUACCCACGCCAGGAGUGCUUGAGAAACCAGCAGAGAAACUCUAUUUCUACAAGCCUCUUGACAUUGUGAUACUCCCCAAUACUACUGUAGGUAGUAACCCCUGAUCUACAGUGCCCGUUAAUACCCAGAAUCAUCACAACUACAGUGCUCUUUCUUCUUUUUUCAGUCUUAGACCAAACAUCCUAAAACAAGUCAUGCGUCUUAUUACCAAUGCGUGUACAUUUUCAGUUUAGGAUAAAUAUCAACUAUAGAUGAACAUUCAAUGUUGAAACCAUUACUGACCAGACUUGUAUUUAGGUUGAAUAGAAUCUAUAAAAUAUGAUUCAUUUGAAGCCAGACCGUUCCUAUCGGACAAUGUCUUAAAGCUACAGUACAGACAAACAAACCAAAGCGUCUGUA